rnacentral:rRNA from 1 species
CUACGGGGUGCACCAGUGGGGAAUAUUGGACAAUGGGGGAAACCCUGAUCCAGCAAUGCCGCGUGUGUGAAGAAGGCCUGCGGGUUGUAAAGCACUUUCGGUUGGGAGGACUGCUUCUAGCACUAAUAUUGUUGGAAGUUGACGUUACCUUCAGAAGAAGCACCGGCUAACUCCGUGCCAGCAGCCGCGGCAAUACGGAGGGUGCAAGCGUUAAUCGGAAUUACUGGGCGUAAAGCGCGCGUAGGCGGCUAGAUCAGUCGGGUGUGAAAGCCCCGGGCUUAACCUGGGAACUGCAUCCGAUACUGUCUAGCUUGAGUACAGGAGAGGAGAGUGGAAUUCCACGUGUAGCGGUGAAAUGCGUAGAUAUGUGGAGGAACACCAAUGGCGAAGGCAGCUCUCUGGCCUGAUACUGACGCUGAGGUGCGAAAGCGUGGGGAGCAAACAGGAUGAUACCCCCGUAGUC